GUACUCAUUUGGCAGGGGAGAUACCGUGAUCACGAAAGUGGUCUUCCCAGGGCAAGGCUUAUCCACUGCACUCCGGACAUGCUGACCCCUGCGAUUUCCCCAAAAGUAGGAAACUUGGCUGCAUCAUCUGUGGUCAUGGGGACUGUGUUCAUGCUUUCCCCUG
ensembl:snRNA U1 U1 spliceosomal RNA